rnacentral:rRNA from 1 species
AUUGAACGCUGGCGGCAGGCCUAACACAUGCAAGUCGAGCGGAGCAGCGGAGGGGUGAGUAAUGCCUAGGACUCUGCCUGGGAGUGGGGGAUAACGUCCGGAAACGGGAGCUAAUACCGCAUACUAUCAGAUUAGCAUAGGUCGGAUUAGGUAGUUGGGGGGGUAAGGGCCUACCAAGGCGAUGAUCCGUAACUGGUCCGAGAGGAUGAUCAGUCACACUGGAAAUGAGACACGGUCCAGACUCCUACGGGAGGCAGCAGUGGGGAAUAUUGGACAAUGGGCGAAAGCCUGAUCCAGCCAUGCCGCGUGUGUGAAGAAGGUCUUCGGAUUGUAAAGCACUUUCAGUUGGGAGGCGUUACCAGCAGAAUAAGCACCGGCUAACUUCGUGCCAGCAGCCGCGGUAAUUC